rnacentral:rRNA from 1 species
GACGAACGCUGGCGGCGUGCUUAACACAUGCAAGUCGAACGGACAGGCCCUGCUUUUGUGGGUUGCUCGAGUGGCGAACGGGUGAGUAACACGUGAGUAACCUGCCCUUGACUUUGGGAUAACUUCAGGAAACUGGGGCUAAUACCGUAUAGGAGCUCCUGCUGCAUUGUGGGGGUUGGAAAGUUUCGGCGGUUGGGGAUGGACUCGCGGCUUAUCAGCUUGUUGGUGGGGUAGUGGCUUACCAAGGCUUUGACGGGUAGCCGGCCUGAGAGGGUGACCGGCCACAUUGGGACUGAGAGACGGCCCAGACUCCUACGGGAGGCAGCAGUGGGGAAUAGUGCACAAUGGGCGGAAGACUGAUGCAGAAACGCCGCGUGCGGGAUGACGGCAUUCGGGUUGUAAACAGCUGUCGCCUGUGACGAAGCGUGAGUGACGGUAAUGGGUAAAGAAGCAACGGCUAACUACGUG